rnacentral:rRNA from 1 species
UGAUAUGGCUCAGGAUGAACGCUAGCUACAGGCUUAACAAAUGCAAGUCGAGGGGCAGCAUGGUCUUAGCUUGCUAAGGCCGAUGGCGACCGGCGCACGGGUGAGUAACGCGUAUCCAACCUGCCUUACACUCUUGGACAGCCUUCUGAAAGGGAGAUUAAUACAAGAUGUUAUCAUGAGUAAGCAUUUUCGCAUGAUUAAAGGUUUACCGGUGUAAGAUGAGGAUGCGUUCCA